GCAUUGGUGGCUCAGUGGUAGAGCUCCUGCCUGCCACGCCGGCGGCUUGGGUUCGUAUCCCAGUCAAUGCU